rnacentral:rRNA from 1 species
GACGAACGCUGGCGGCGUGCUUAACACAUGCAAGUCGAACGGAAAGGCCCUGCUUUUGUGGGGUGCUCGAGUGGCGAACGGGUGAGUAACACGUGAGUAACCUGCCCUUGACUUUGGGAUAACUUCAGGAAACUGGGGCUAAUACCGGAUAGGAGCUCCUGCUGCAUGGUGGGGGUUGGAAAGUUUCGGCGGUUGGGGAUGGACUCGCGGCUUAUCAGCUUGUUGGUGGGGUAGUGGCUUACCAAGGCUUUGACGGGUAGCCGGCCUGAGAGGGUGACCGGCCACAUUGGGACUGAGAUACGGCCCAGACUCCUACGGGAGGCAGCAGUGGGGAAUAUUGCACAAUGGGCGGAAGCCUGAUGCAGCAACGCCGCGUGCGGGAUGACGGCCUUCGGGUUGUAAACCGCUUUCGCCUGUGACGAAGCGUGAGUGACGGUAAUGGGUAAAGAAGCACCGGCUAACUACGUGCCAGCAGCCGCGGUGAUACGUAGGGUGCGAGCGUUGUCCGGAUUUAUUGGGCGUAAAGGGCUCGUAGGUGGUUGAUCGCGUCGGAAGUGUAAUCUUGGGGCUUAACCCCUGAGCGUGCUUUCGAUACGGGUUGACUUGAGGAAAGGUAGGGGGAGAAUGGAAUUCCUGGUGGAGCGGUGGAAUGCGCAGAUAUCAGGAGGAACACCAGUGGCGAAGGCGGUUCUCUGGGCCUUUCCUGACCGCUGAGGAGCGAAAGCGUGGGGAGCGAACAGGCUUAGAUACCCUGGUAGUCCACGCUGUAAACGGUGGGUACUAGGUGUGGGGUCCAUUCCACGGGUUCCGUGCCGUAGCUAACGCUUUAAGUACCCCGCCUGGGGAGUACGGCCGCAAGGCUGAAACUCAAAGGAAUUGACGGGGCCCCGCACAAGCGGCGGAGCAUGCGGAUUAAUUCGAUGCAACGCGUAGAACCUUACCUGGGUUUGACAUGGAUCGGGAGUGCUCAGAGAUGGGUGUGCCUCUUUUGGGGUCGGUUCACAGGUGGUGCAUGCCUGUCGUCAGCUCGUGUCGUGAGAUGUUGGGUUAAGUCCCGCAACGAGCGCAACCCUUGUUCACUGUUGCCAGCACGUUAUGGUGGGGACUCAGUGGAGACCGCCGGGGUCAACUCGGAGGAAGGUGGGGAUGACGUCAAGUCCUCAUGCCCCUUAUGUCCAGGGCUUCACGCAUGCUACAAUGGCUGGUACAGAGAGUGGCGAGCCUGUGAGGGUGAGCGAAUCUCGGAAAGCCGGUCUCAGUUCGGAUUGGGGUCUGCAACUCGACCUCAUGAAGUCGGAGUCGCUAGUAAUCGCAGAUCAGCAACGCUGCGGUGAAUACGUUCCCGGGGCU